rnacentral:tRNA from 3 species
GCGUCUGUAGUGUAAUGGUAGCACAAAUGAUUCCAAACCAUUUAGUAAGAGUUCGAAUCUUUUCAGGCGUGCAA